ACAUUACAGGAGGGUCUGAUACCUGUGAUGGAGACAGCGGUGGUCCUCUGGUCUGUGAAAUCAACGGGAAAUACGCUGUAUUGGGUGUAACUUCGUGGGGACACGCUGACGGCUGUGGGCUUCCAAAUUUUCCAGGGGUGUAUGCCAAUGUCAAAAGUCUUCUGCGGUGGAUCAGAAAAACCCUUGCUGAAUAAUAUUCAGUGUAUCUUCGGAAUCCUUUUCAUUUUGACAUAUUGUUACAUGCAGUUACCUGAGUGCACUAUUGAUUUAAAUUUUGUAACAAUCUUCAUCAUAUUUUCCAAACAUCUCAGGAAUAAAUUGUUAACGUAAUCAUGAAUAAAUGCAUCUAAUAAAAAGUA